AGCAGCUACUCAAGGUCUGAGGGCGAAGUCGUACUGCUGACUGCAGAGGGGUGUGACAGCAGUAAGGUGUUUCCCUCGGACAAACAGCAUCUGC
rnacentral:precursor_RNA from 1 species